CUCCGUGGUGCCCAAAAAUGGGUCUUGAAGGGCGACGCGAAUACGGCAUAUUUCUAGGCUAUCGCCAAUGGCCGCCGUAGACGUAACACCAUCCCCCUCUUAUGGGAUGAUGAGACUCUCCUUCAAGAUCCUCGCGACAUCCGUACCCACGUCGACGGUUUCUAUAGGUCCUUAUUC
rnacentral:rRNA from 1 species